rnacentral:rRNA from 1 species
GGCUAAAUACUCCUGACUGACCGAUAGUGAACCAGUACCGUGAGGGAAAGGCGAAAAGAACCCCGGCGAGGGGAGUGAAAAAGAACCUGAAACCGUGUACGUACAAGCAGUGGGAGCCCCACCACUAAGCCAGUGGUGAACUCCACAUCCGCAUCCUUUGCUGAGGAUACGGUUAACGGAGCGAAAGCGACGUUCAACCGCAAAACAAGCAGAGGGGGCUUAGUGGUGGGGUGACUGCGUACCUUUUGUAUAAUGGGUCAGCGACUUAUAUUCUGUAGCAAGGUUAACCGAAUAGGGGAGCCGGAGGGAAACCGAGUCUUAAUUGGGCGUUAAGUUGCAGGGUAUAGACCCGAAACCCGGUGAUCUAGCCAUGGGCAGGUUGAAGGUUGGGUAACACUAACUGGAGGACCGAACCGACUAAUGUUGAAAAAUUAGCGGAUGACCUGUGGCUGGGGGUGAAAGGCCAAUCAAACCGGGAGAUAGCUGGUUCUCCCCGAAAGCUAUUUAGGUAGCGCCUCGUGAAUUCAUCUCCGGGGGUAGAGCACUGUUUCGGCUAGGGGGCCAUCCCGGCUUACCAACCCGAUGCAAACUGCGAAUACCGGAGAAUGUUAUCACGGGAGACACACGGCGGGUGCUAACGUCCGUCGUGAAGAGGGAAACAACCCAGACCGCCAGCUAAGGUCCCAAAGUCAUGGUUAAGUGGGAAACGAUGUGGGAAGGCCCAGACAGCCAGGAUGUUGGCUUAGAAGCAGCCAUCAUUUAAAGAAAGCGUAAUAGCUCACUGGUCGAGUCGGCCUGCGCGGAAGAUGUAACGGGGCUAAACCAUGCACCGAAGCUGCGGCAGCGAACGUAUCACCCAAGACAACUUUACGGAGUUGACGAUUGACGGAGCGAAGCGACGUCAAAGCGUUCAUUAAAGUCGAGUUGGCUUAGGGAUACGUUCGUUGGGUAGGGGAGCGUUCUGUAAGCCUGUGAAGGUGUGUCGUGAGGCAUGCUGGAGGUAUCAGAAGUGCGAAUGCUGACAUAAGUAACGAUAAAGCGGGUGAAAAGCCCGCUCGCCGGAAGACCAAGGGUUCCUGUCCAACGUUAAUCGGGGCAGGGUGAGUCGACCCCUAAGGCGAGGCCGAAAGGCGUAGUCGAUGGGAAACGGGUUAAUAUUCCCGUACUUGGUGUUACUGCGAAGGGGGGACGGAGAAGGCUAUGUUGGCCGGGCGACGGUUGUCCCGGUUUAAGCGUGUAGGUGUGUGUUCCAGGUAAAUCCGGUUCACUUUAACACUGAGGCGUGACGACGAGGCACUACGGUGCUGAAGCAACAAAUGCCCUGCUUCCA